CCUUCUGGAGUUGGCAGAGGGGGGUGGAAUUCCACGUGUAGCAGUGAAAUGCGUAAAGAUGUGGAGGAACACCAAUGGCGAAGGCAGCCCCCUGGGUCGAUACUGACGCUCAUGCACGAAAGCGUGGGUAGCAAACAGGAUUAGAUACCCUGGUAGUCCACGCCCUAAACGAUGUCAACUAGGUGUUGGGAGGGUAAAACCUUUUAGUGCCGUAGCUAACG
rnacentral:rRNA from 1 species